UUNNNAGAUAGCCANGCANGUCUAGUACAUGCCGUAUUAAGGCGAAACCGCGAAUGGCUCAUUAAAUCAGUUAUGGUUCCUUGGAUCGUACUUUACUACUUGGAUAACUGUGGCAAUUCUAGAGCUAAUACAUGCAGCAGAGCUCCGACCUUCGGGGACGAGCGCUUUUAUUAGACCAAAACCAAUCGGGCCUCGUGUCCGUGAAACGUGGUGACUCUGUAUAACUUUGGGCUGAUCGCACGGGCUCGUCCCGGCGACGUAUCUUUCAAGUGUCUGCCUUAUCAACUGUCGAUGGUAGGUUACGCGCCUACCAUGGUCGUAACGGGUGACGGGGAAUCAGGGUUCGAUUCCGGAGAGGGAGCCUGAGAAACGGCUACCACAUCCAAGGAAGGCAGCAGGCGCGCAAAUUACCCACUCCCGGAACGGGGAGGUAGUGACGAAAAAUAACAAUACGGGACUCUUUUGAGACCCCGUAAUUGGAAUGAGUACACUCUAAAUCCUUUAACGAUUAUCCAUUGGAGGGCAAGUCCAGUGCCAGCAGCCGCGGUAAUUCUGGCUCCAAUAGCGUAUAUUAAAGUUGUUGCGGUUAAAAAGCUCGUAGUUGGAUCUCAGUUCCAGACGGGCGGUCCGCCUACCGGCGGUCACUGCCCGUUCUGAACAGGCCAGCCGGUUUCCCCUGAUGAUCUUCACCGGUUGUCUCGGGUGACCGGCAAGUUUACUUUGAAAAAAUUAGAGUGCUCAAAGCAGGCGCGACGCCUGAAUAAUGGUGCAUGGAAUAAUGGAAUAGGACCUCGGUUCUAUUUUGUUGGUUUUCGGAACGCGAGGUAAUGAUUAAGAGGGACAGACGGGGGCAUUCGUAUUGCGACGCUAGAGGUGAAAUUCUUGGACCGUCGCAAGACGAACUACUGCAGANUUUUUUUUUNNNGGAAAANAA
rnacentral:rRNA from 1 species